CAGUCGCCGCGGUAAUACGAAGGGUGCAAGCGUUACUCGGAAUUACUGGGCGUAAGGCGUGCGUAGGUGGUGGUUUAAGUCCGUUGUGAAAGCCCUGGGCUCAACCUGGGAAUUGCAGUGGAUACUGGGUCACUAGAGUGUGGUAGAGGAUAGUGGAAUUUCCGGUGAAGCAGUGAAAUGCGUAGAGAUCGGAAGGAACAUCUGUGGCGAAGGCGACUAUCUGGGCCAACACUGACACUGAGGCACGAAAGCGUGGGGAGCAAACAGGAUUAGAUACCCCAGUAGUCCCUGUCUCUUAUAC
rnacentral:rRNA from 1 species